rnacentral:rRNA from 1 species
GACGAACGCUGGCGGCGUACCUAAUACAUGCAAGUAGAACGCUGAAGGAGGAGCUUGCUUCUCUGGAUGAGUUGCGAACGGGUGAGUAACGCGUAGGUAACCUGCCUGGUAGCGGGGGAUAACUAUUGGAAACGAUAGCUAAUACCGCAUAAGAGUAGAUGUUGCAUGACAUUUGCUUAAAAGGUGCAAUUGCAUCACUACCAGAUGGACCUGCGUUGUAUUAGCUAGUUGGUGGGGUAACGGCUCACCAAGGCGACGAUACAUAGCCGACCUGAGAGGGUGAUCGGCCACACUGGGACUGAGACACGGCCCAGACUCCUACGGGAGGCAGCAGUAGGGAAUCUUCGGCAAUGGACGGAAGUCUGACCGAGCAACGCCGCGUGAGUGAAGAAGGUUUUCGGAUCGUAAAGCUCUGUUGUAAGAGAAGAACGAGUGUGAGAGUGGAAAGUUCACACUGUGACGGUAUCUUACCAGAAAGGGACGGCUAACUACGUGCCUGCAGCCGCGGUAAUACGUAGGUGGCAAGCGUUAUCCGGAUUUAUUGGGCGUAAAGAGAGUGCAGGCGGUUUUCUAAGUCUGAUGUGAAAGCCUUCGGCUUAACCGGAGAAGUGCAUCGGAAACUGGAUAACUUGAGUGCAGAAGAGGGUAGUGGAACUCCAUGUGUAGCGGUGGAAUGCGUAGAUAUAUGGAAGAACACCAGUGGCGAAGGCGGCUCUCUGGUCUGUAACUGACGCUGAGGCUCGAAAGCGUGGGGAGCGAACAGG